CUUACCAUUGCUUGUAAGCUGGAUUGAGUAAGAUGGAUCAUCUUUAAAGGAACCAGGAGUUAAGGCAGAUGUGGAGGCACACGGGUGACACCAGACACACACCAAGCACAUUGUUCGGACAUUCAAUCAUGACAUGAUCCAUGUGGAUGCUGUCCAUUGAGGAAAGAGUUUGUUCAGAGGUUUCUGGACAGAAUUAAUCCCAAAGAUGGGAAAAAGUGCACAUCCACACAAGGAGCAAGCAAAAAGACAAGGAACUUGGUGCAGAGAAAAGCUGUGGCCAUUAACCCCCAUGUGAACAGCUUCAUGCAGUCCCUGAUAGAGUUUGAAUGGG